UCGUCUAGCUUCCUCUUCCUUCUUCGCGCGAUAGAGAAAAUUUUACUCCCAGUCUCAGAGAUUCAGACGUAACAAGCUCUCUCACAAACGACGUCCGACGACCGACGUCCGACGAAGCGACGACUGACGGUCUCAGACUUUCAACAAUCAGCAAUCAGCUCUCUGCAAGUCUGCAACUAUUUCUUCUUCUUCUUCUUCUAAUAUUCCUGAUUUGGGGUUCUUGUUUGUCCUUUCUACAGCUAUUCCUAUUUGGUGCUUGGCUCAUCAAUUCCUCUAUAACCAACAACCACAACACAAGGACCAUCGUCCAACUUUCAAAGCUAUUCGUAUUUGGUGAUUAGCUCAUCAACUCCUCAGUAACCAGCAACCACAACACAAGGACCAUUGUCCAACAUUCAAAGAAAGAAAACCAAAUGCUUCGAGGACAGGUGGGUGAUCUUCAAGCAAAAAUAGCAUGAUUGGAGUCCAUGGUGGAGCUGUUAGCGCACCGUCAAGGACUGGAUGCCUUGUUUCCCACUCCUCUUCCGGUUCAGGGCUCAUAGAAGAGGCUGAAAAGCAAGAUCUUUUAUCUAAAAGCAAACAGAAACAAAAUCUCUUCAUAGAAAGAAAAAGGAAAGGAAGGAUCUGAUCGUCUUAGACUUAGAUACUUUGAUAGUGCAGUUCUUCCUUCUCUAGGCAAGUGUUAUAAAACUUUGAUUUGCCUCAAGUCUUUAUAGUUUGAUGGGCUGAUUCCUUCAUGGGGGCUGUCCAAAUUUUGUUUCUUGAAUACGUUGU